GAUGAACGCUGGCGGCGUGCCUAACACAUGCAAGUCGAGCGGGAUUCAUGAGGACGAAACUUCGGUCUAGAAAUCAUGAUGAGAGCGGCGGACGGGCGAGUAACGCGUAGGCAACCUGCCCUUAGCACAGGGAUAGCCUCGGGAGACCGGGAUUAAAACCUGAUAAUGCCAAACAGUCACAUGGCUGUUUGGCCAAAGAUUUAUCGGCUGAGGAUGGGCCUGCGUCUGAUUAGUUAGUUGGUGGGGUAACGGCCUACCAAGACGACGAUCAGUAGCCGACCUGAGAGGGUGAUCGGCCACAGUGGAACUGAGACACGGUCCAAACUCCUACGGGAGGCAGCAGUGGGGAAUAUUGCACAAUGGGCGAAAGCCUGAUGAAGCAACGCCGCGUGAGCGAUGAAGGCCUUUGGGUCGUAAAGCUCUGUCCUAGGGGACGAACACAAUGACGGUACCCUUGGAGGAAGCCCCGGCUAACUACGUGCCAGCCGCCGCGGUAA
rnacentral:rRNA from 1 species